AGUCGUUGGUGGCACAACUUCCCAUUCCGGGCGGUUGGCUCACGCACAUAAAUGCAGAUACGCAAGUGCCAAAACCCGCCCAAAGAGGCGGGUUUUUUUAU
rfam:Xenorhabdus doucetiae str. FRM16 chromosome, complete genome.